ACUACCUUGCUUAUAAAUCAGAACUGAGAAUACUUGUGAACAAUUCUAAACUCCUUUAUUUCUCUUUUCUCUUUCAGAUUCCACUAGUAUCCAUUGAGGACCCCAAAGGAAAUCGCAUCGCACAAUGGCAGAAGGUCAAGUUAGAGAGUGGCCUCAAGCAAUUGGCCUUUCCCCUCUCAUCAGAGCCAUUUCUGGGCUCCUAUAAGGUGCUGGUACAGAAAGAAUCAGGUGAAA